rnacentral:rRNA from 1 species
CGUAACAAGGUCUCCGUUGGUGAACCAGCGGAGGGAUCAUUGCUGGAACGCGCCCCUGGCGCACCCAGAAACCCUUUGUGAACUUAUACCUUACUGUUGCCUCGGCGCAGGCCGUCCCCCAUGGGGUCCCUCUGGAGACGGAGGAGCAGCCGGCCGGUGGCCAAAUUAACUCUGUUUUUACACUGAAACUCUGAGUACAAAACAUAAAUGAAUCAAAACUUUCAACAACGGAUCUCUUGGUUCUGGCAUCGAUGAAGAACGCAGCGAAAUGCGAUAAGUAAUGUGAAUUGCAGAAUUCAGUGAAUCAUCGAAUCUUUGAACGCACAUUGCGCCCUCUGGUAUUCCGGAGGGCAUGCCUGUUCGAGCGUCAUUUCAACCCUCAAGCCUGGCUUGGUGUUGGGGCACUGCCUGUGAAAGGGCAGGCCCUGAAAUAUAGUGGCGAGCUCGCCAGGACUCCGAGCGUAGUAGUUAAACCCUCGCUUUGGAAGGCCUGGCGGUGCCCUGCCGUUAAACCCCAACUUUUGAAAAUUUGACCUCGGAUCAGGUAGGAAUACCCGCUGAACUUAAGCAUAUC